rnacentral:rRNA from 1 species
GAUGAACGCUGGCGGCGUGCCUAAUACAUGCAAGUCGAGCGAACAGACGAGGAGCUUGCUCCUCUGACGUUAGCGGCGGACGGGUGAGAAACACGUGGAUCACCUACCUAUAAGACUGGGAUAACUUCGGGAAACCGGAGCUAAUACCGGAUAAUAUAUUGAACCGCAUGGUUCAAUAGUUAAAGACGGUUUUGCUGUCACUUAUAGAUGGAUCCGCGGCGCAUUAGCUAGUUGGUAAGGUAACGGCUUACCAAGGCUACGAUGCGUAGCCGACCUGAGAGGGUGAUCGGCCACACUGGAACUGAGACACGGUCCAGACUCCUACGGGAGGCAGCAGUAGGGAAUCUUCCGCAAUGGGCGAAAGCCUGACGGAGCAAUGCCGCGUGAGUGAUGAAGGUCUUCGGAUCGUAAAACUCUGUUAUUAGGGAAGAACAAAUGUGUAAGUAACUAUGCACGUCUUGACGGUACCUAAUGAGAAAGCCACGGCUAACUACGUG